GGUGGUGAGAGAGUGAAGCUGCAACAUGAUCUGAUGGAGCCAAACUCCAUGCAUCCUUACCUCUUACUGAAACUUGCAAGAACAAUGAUUCUUCUACCUCUACUAACCAAACCCACACCUCACUCACAAUGCUCAUCAACAUCAAGAAUCCACAAUUCCCUUCGCGCCUCGACACGACAACCAAAUCGCGAAAACACGGGACAAUCGCAGUACUGAAGCAUGGUAUUUGGCCCAUGCCUGACAACCAGAUCAUGCUGGCAGCUUCAUUCUCUCACACC
rnacentral:pre_miRNA from 1 species